rnacentral:lncRNA from 1 species
AUGGGGCGGGGGAGGGGGUAAUCAAGGGCAGAAGACACAGCAUGUGAGGGACUCAGGGAUGAGAAUGAUCCCAGCAGCGACGGCUGUGGGAGGAAAUGAGAGAGGAAGAGGGGCAUCCAUGCAGCUGGAACAUAGACUUUGCGGAGGAGAGAUGCUCAAGGGGGAAGAAAUCAGCAAAGCGUCCUCCUAUGCAAAUCUGAUGUCGAACGCAUUUGAAUCCAGGUGAAUCUGAUGGAGAACCCUCGGUUCAUCCGCUAAUUGAAAGAUUUCAAAGAAAGGCUCCUAAAAUUUCCCCACGCCUAUAAAAAUACUUUCAGAUGAAUCCAGUAUGACCAGCUGAAAGUGCCAGAUUCCGAGGGCAGGGACUCCUGUAUCUCCAGCGUCAUCAGCAGAGUUCCAUGAUUCAGGUAGUGGAGCUAAAGAAGGACCAUGAAGACCAG